CUUCGAACGAAGGUACGCGCACAAAUAAAUAAAGUAAGGUAUACGUGGGUAGAAACCUACGAAGAUAUUUUUAUGUCACCCCAGUCCUUGCUUGGCGCGGCGAUGUUGAAAGACGUUUCCCCUCGACAGUUUCGUCGCUAACCACACCUUCCGGGCGUUCAACGGUUAUUCGCGUCGACGUGGAGUGGAAUAUGACAUAUAUGGACGGACAUCGAACACAUUUAGGUUUAUAGAUCCGAGCGUGUUGCAUGCAUGGCACAUCGGGUUCGUCAGUAUUUAUUUGUAAGGUUACUAUUUGCUUCUAUAUUUUUGCCGGUCCCGGUCAACCGGGCUCAUGAACUGAGCUGCCAGCCAGAAGGUUUGGAUUGCUUCUUUCUCGCUUUGAUGCGGCACGCGUUACAUCGUCUAAUCUGUUCUGACAUCCAUGCAUCCAGGCAAGGUGACGAGCAUUUCCGGGUCAGGCAUACCCGGCUUCCGCGUGAGUUACACUUGUGCCUGUCGCUAACUUUUCCUCGAUUCGUAUGUUUCGAACGUAACUCGUUCUGAACUUUUUG
rnacentral:lncRNA from 1 species